UACUGUAGUUGUUACGUCUAAACCACAUUUGCCACUGGAUUUCUUGAACAGCUUUUAGUCAUAAUGUCAUCUCUACACAUGUCUAAAUGAUUGUUUUGUUGUUCCUGUUGUGCCAGCUGGAGAUUUGUACUACACAUACAAGGACAAUGAGAGGAUGGUUGUGUGCACCAAAGACCAAAUUAUCAAUGUCCUGAAGGAGUGCCAUGAUAACCUGGGUUCCGGAGGUCAUGCAGGGAGAAGGCGCACCACCGAGAAGGUUUUGGCAACGUACCACUGGUCCACUAUGCGGGAGGACGUGAAGAAAUGGAUACAUUCUAACAGCGACUGAUCUGUUCACGAAGUGGGUGGUAGCAAAAACGCUCUACCACAAAACAGCUGUUGAGGUCUCAAAAAAGAUUGUAAAUAUUCUUCUCGAUUUCGGUCUUGUCGAGAAGAUCAUUACCGACCAAGGACGGGAAUUUGUCAAUGAGGUCAACCGUGGUGUUUUUGAUGCACUGGGUGUAAAACACUGCAUCACUUCAGCGUACCAUCCCCAGUGCAAUGGCCAAGAUGAGCGUACAAACCAAAACA